GCUGCGCACUUCGGUCUUUUACGUCGGCCUUCGCGAGCGUCUGGGCGGGUGGUAGGUGAGUGGGUAUUGCGGGCUAGUAUCCGAGCAAAAGAUGGUGGCGCAGGCCGAGUUAAGAGCUUUAAUCCUGUGAAGACAUCUUAGUGAAGAGUUUAGAGUGCUGAGAGUUGAAAGCUUGCACGUGGGAAACGUGCGGCCGGACUGCCACAUGUACUGAGGUUGAGUCGUGACGGCCACAGGCUCCGAGUUUUGGCGUGAGGAACCGCUGAUCGGCCACGGGCGCCGAACUUGCUGGCCUCCGGCAUGUGCCUGAGCGGCGGCGGAAAAACCACCUUAAUUGGGGCGGAGGGUUAGUUUUAACAGCAAAGGGCCUUUACUAAAAUGGCGAAGGCCUUCCGUCGGCGUUGUUUUAAAAUGGGAAGCCUCGACCCUGUAUUGAAACUGAGCUGUUCGAAGGCGGCGUUGUGUGCAAUUCGGAUUAAUGAAGGGGAAGGGUUUUGUGUGGAAAAACGCCUUGGAGUGUGACAUUUCUGCGAGAAUGCUUAAAUACCGAUUUCCCGCAGGAACAAUGGCGCUGUCUUCAGUGGCACAGUGGAGCAGCUCUGAAGAUGCAAAGGUAAGAGCUUAGUUAAGCUUAGUUUCCAAACUAAAGGAGUAAACCUGUUGAUUUACAGGAAUAGGAACUGUUGCAUCGUUUGAAAUUUACUUUUUUUUGUUAGAUACACGAAAAAACUUCCAGAACAUCUGGGAGAAUAUUUAAUGGAAAAUCGCUUGGUUAAAACCUGACACUUUUAACAGUGAGGGUCGCUGUCUGCCCAUUGAUAGAGGCCAGAUUGUCUUGGAAGUUCCAAAGUUGCAACGAUUUCUGGCUAGUGCCACGAGGUUUACUUGACUGUUGUGUGAAAAGCUGAUAAGAAAACCAUCCAGAAAAAAGCUCUUCGUUUUACAAACAUGAAAAUAAAACAUGUAAUUUUGGAUUA
rnacentral:lncRNA from 1 species